AACUUUUGAAGGGAAACGCAGGUGUGCAGUGAUUCUGGCAAAUCUCUCAGUUUAUAACAACUUCUAAGGGUCAACUCCUGAAGGCAAGGAAACACAAACAACACCUCAUCUGCGGUUGUCAACUCCUUUGCAUCCUUCCACUCUUCUAAGCUAUCCAUCCACUCCAAUUUGAGUAUUCUCAAUGCCGGAAAUAAUAUUGUAGUAGUAUUUCUGUAACUCCCAUCACUGUAACUGUAAAACUCACUUCCUAUACUUCUUACCUUCUCCAUUCCUUCCAUUUCAAGAACCCUAAGACAGGGUAAUUGCCCCAGAGUGGGAACUUCUUCACAUUCCCUACAAUAUCUCAAAUUGAUCUCAAUCAAAUUGUGAUAUAGCGAAGACAAACCAACCCAUGAUGGGAAUUUCUUUCCCCCGUAGUAUUCGAUUGUUAAGCUUUUCAAAUUUGGGUGAGGAUGGAGGCCUUCCAACACCUUUUCAUCUUUAUCAGAACCCUUAUCCCAGUAUAAUCCCAAGUUGAAUAUUUCCUUUU